rnacentral:rRNA from 1 species
AGUGGCAGACGGGUGAGUAACGCGUGGGAACGUGCCCUUCGGUACGGAAUAGCCUCGGGAAACUGAGAGUAAUACCGUAUGCGCCGGAAACGGGAAAGAUUUAUCGCCGAAGGAUCGGCCCGCGUUGGAUUAGCUAGUUGGCGGUGUAAAGGACCACCAAGGCGACGAUCCAUAGCUGGUCUGAGAGGAUGAUCAGCCACACUGGGACUGAGACACGGCCCAGACUCCUACGGGAGGCAGCAGUCGGGAAUCUUGGACAAUGGGCGCAAGCCUGAUCCAGCCAUGCCGCGUGAGUGAAGAAGGCCUUAGGGUUGUAAAACUCUUUCGCCGGAGAAGAUAAUGACGGUAUCCGGAGAAGAAGCCCCGGCUAACUUCGUGCCAGCAGCCGCGGUAAUACGAAGGGGGCUAGCGUUGUUCGGAAUUACUGGGCGUAAAGCGCACGCAGGCGGAUCGACAAGUUGGGGGUGAAAUCCCGGGGCUCAACCUCGGAACUGCCUUCAAAACUAUCGAUCUAGAGGUCAGGAGAGGCGAGCGGAAUUCCGAGUGUAGAGGUGAAAUUCGUAGAUAUUCGGAGGAACACCAGUGGCGAAGGCGGCUCGCUGGACUGAUACUGACGCUCAGGUGCGAAAGCGUGGGGAGCAAACAGGAUUAGAUACCCUGGUAGUCCACGCCUUAAACGAUGAGAGCUAGUUGUCGGUA